CAAUUUUUGUGGAUUCGAGUUGAAGUCGAGCCAAUGUUGCCACCAAAGAAGAUUACGGGUACCGGACCGUUACUUGGACCGGCGUGGAAGGAGAUUCGAGUGAAUCUGACUUGGGCGUAGGUUAGCCAGGACGGACGGUUCCCGAAUACCGGUGGAGGCAAGCACAACAAGCCAUCACCACAGAAUCAAAUGCAGAACACGUCAAGAUUUCCUUUUUUUUAGUUUUGUUUGAAGAUUUUGUGUGAUUUAAUGAAAUAAAAUAAAAUUUUGGCCGAUGCAGUAAAACCUGCAGAAUAACGAAA